GACGAACGCUGGCGGCGUGCUUAACACAUGCAAGUCGAACGCUGAAGCUUGGUGCUUGCACUGGGUGGAUGAGUGGCGAACGGGUGAGUAAUACGUGAGUAACCUGCCCUUGACUCUGGGAUAAGCCUGGGAAACUGGGUCUAAUACUGGAUACGACAUGCCACUGCAUGGUGGUGUGUGGAAAGGGUUUUACUGGUUUUGGAUGGGCUCACGGCCUAUCAGCUUGUUGGUGGGGUAAUGGCCUACCAAGGCGACGACGGGUAGCCGGCCUGAGAGGGUGACCGGCCACACUGGGACUGAGACACGGCCCAGACUCCUACGGGAGGCAGCAGUGGGGAAUAUUGCACAAUGGGCGGAAGCCUGAUGCAGCGACGCCGCGUGAGGGAUGACGGCCUUCGGGUUGUAUACCUCUUUCAGCACGGAAGAAGCGAGAGUGACGGUACGUGCAGAAGAAGCGCCGGCUAACUACGUG
rnacentral:rRNA from 1 species